rnacentral:rRNA from 1 species
CCUACGGGAGGCUGCAGUGAGGAAUAUUGGUCAAUGGGCGCGAGCCUGAACCAGCCAAGUCGCGUGAGGGAGGACGGCCCUACGGGUUGUAAACCUCUUUUGCCGGGGAGCAACGGGCGCCACGUGUGGCGUCCCUGAGAGUACCCGGAGAAAAGGCAUCGGCUAACUCCGUGCCAGAAGCCGCGGUAAUACGGGGGAUGCGAGCGUUAUCCGGAUUUAUUGGGUUUAAAGGUUGCUUAGGCGGAUCGUUAAGUCAGUGGUCAAAUUGAGGGGUUAAACCCCUUCCCGCCAUUGAUACUGGCGUUCUUGAGUGGAGGAGCAGUAUGCGGAAUGCGUGGUGUAGCGGUGAAAUGCAUAGAUAUCACGCAGAACCCCGAUUGCGAAGGCAGCAUGCCGGCUUCCGACUGACGCUGAAGCACGAAAGCGUGGGGAUCGAACAGGAUUAGAUACCCUAGUAGUC